GUUUGCUACCAUACUACCCCACAAGUAUCUGAUCUUGUCUGAUCACUGAAGCUAAGUAAGGUCAGGCUUAAUCAGUGCUAGGGUGGGAGACCAACUGGAGUUGGCUAAAAAAGGCUCACA
rnacentral:rRNA from 1 species